rnacentral:rRNA from 1 species
AUUGAACGCUGGCGGAAUGCUUUACACAUGCAAGUCGAACGGCAGCACGGACUUCGGUCUGGUGGCGAGUGGCGAACGGGUGAGUAAUGUAUCGGAACGUGCCCAGUCGUGGGGGAUAACGUAGUGAAAAUUACGCUAAUACCGCAUACGAUCUAUGGAUGAAAGCGGGGGAUCGCAAGACCUCGCGCGAUUGGAGCGGCCGAUAUCAGAUUAGGUAGUUGGUGGGGUAAAGGCCCACCAAGCCAACGAUCUGUAGCUGGUCUGAGAGGACGACCAGCCACACUGGAACUGAGACACGGUCCAGACUCCUACGGGAGGCAGCAGUGGGGAACUUUGGUCAAUGGGCGAAAGCCUGAUCCAGCCAUUCCGCGUGCAGGAUGAAGGCCCUCGGGUUGUAAACUGCUUUUGUACAGAACGAAAAGGUUUCUACUAAUACUAGGAGCUCAUGACGGUACUGUAAGAAUAAGCACCGGCUAACUACGUGCCAGCAGCCGCCGUAA